AAAAAAAUUCAAAUUUUUCAACUCAACCCAACCCAUAUUUCAACCUAAUCCAAUCCAACCCAUAUAGUAUGAGUUGGGUAGUCUCGGUUGUCAGGUUACUCGAAUUAUUCUUACACACCUAUUUGAUAUAGAGGGGUUGGGGUGAGAACAAAAGUUUGUAUAUUAGAGGCGAGCUGAUAGGAAUUAUUGUGCCUAUAACAUAUAAGUAUGAAGAACUUAAAGCUUGAGGUCAUCAAGGACGACCUACAGAAAUGGUUCGUGCUCGAUUUCACUAAUUGAGUACUUACUCGAUUUGUUAAGCAUCAAAUACUCAGCAUGUGGAAAGAGUUCAUGGGAGACAACCAUAGGCAUUUCAUACCACUCAAAUUGAUAAAUCGUGUGAAAGAUUGACACUUCCUCUACGAUCAUUACAUAACUCGACAAUUUCAGGAGCAAUCAAUGAUCAACAAGGCUGCUAGAGCGAAGUAAUCUUACAACCACAGUAGCGGGUCCAAGUCGUUCCUACAACGAUAACAUGAGCUCAUUGAACAACGAGGUCACCCACAGUGGACCGUGUGGAGUUGUUCAGAGAAACACAUGCCUAGGAGUGGCUAGUUCAUUUCACAGACGGUCAUAGAUGCGCAUAAUUAGAUGCUGGAACUCCAGUCCCAACCUAUCCCAAAAGGUUCUUAACAACUAUCAAGGGAUGAGAUAUGCGAGACUGUUUUGGGUAGAUGAUCGGGCUACUCAAAAGGUCUUUGUUGAGGCUCCAAGCCUAAGUCACGGAAGGGUGGUGGCAAUUCAUCAAGUUUAUCAACUCAAGAAAUGCACGAUAAGAGAUGGUGCAAUCUCAGAUUAGAGAACUUGAAAAAGGACAACUACUUGUGCUUGAAGAACAAAGAAGAAUGUCGGAGAUGCAUGCUCGAUAGAUGGAAGAAGUAAAAAAAAUGAUUGAGGAAAUGUCUCGGGCAAAUAGAUGAUCCUGAACUUACUGUACGCUUUUUUUUUAAGUUUACUUGUUUUUUAUUUCAUGAUAGAGAAAUUUAUUUCAAAAAAUGUAUACUUUACUUUAAUGCCAUUGUAGGUGUGGGCUCAUUGGAAAUGGCGUCCGGGUUAAUGAAAAAUUCAUGCAGCGUUUCUUUUU